GCAGACACAUUCCAGCCAAUCAGCAGCAGACCCUCCCUCCCAGACCCUCCCACCUCCUGGACAGCAUCCAUUUUACAUUCAUUGUGAAGCUGCAUUCUUAGUGAGCUGUCCAGGAGGUGGGAGGGUCUGGGAGGGAGGGUCUGCUGCUGAUUGGCUGGAAUGUGUCAA